rnacentral:lncRNA from 1 species
CUCCUUUUACUACUAUUAUUAAGACAAAAAACAUGGCAAUUUAGCAAACUUAUACAGGAUGAAAAAGUUUAAAUUUUAAAUUGAAAGCAACUAUGUAGACAGAAUUUUCAAUGUUAUAGAUAUUUCCUUAAGUGUUGUAUUCUUCCUUACAUCAUUGAUCUGUUCUUUACUAUAAUAUAUAUGUAGGACUUUAAAGUGCAAUGGGGACGCUAAAGUACGAUGGUCAGGCUAAAGUGCGAUGGUCUAUGCUAAAGUGUGAUGCUUCUGUACGCUAAAGUCCGAUGGUCCGCGAAAGUAUAGACGUAAGAAACGUAGUUUGAUUAUGACGUGAACAGUCGUUCAUACAAACCAAAAAUGAACAUGCCGGAAGAUAGACUAGGAAAAUUUUAUUAAAAAUUUUUACACCAAAUGUCCAUGAACUAAUUGAUUAAAACUUUAUCGUUCUUUGUUGGCUGAAGCACAUUUUUUAUUUUUUUUUCGAAUGUUGGAAGAAGGACAUGUAUCCUACAGUCGACCAUUUUACUAUAUAAAUACAAAACAGUAUACGCAUACUUAUCCUGCUUCUAUUUGAAGCAAACGGAUACAUUUGAAUCAUUGUUUAUGUGGCAAUUUACCUUGAGAUUCCUGUUAAAAAAUGCCGUCGAUUUUAAUAAAAAGUAACGUCGGUAAAAUAGAGAUACAUGUUUUCAUGUGUGAAUUAUAAAUUGUCUGCUAAAACAUUCGUUUGUUCUGUACAUUGUAGAAAAAUAAAACAUGUAUUUGUACUCGCUACGAAAAAGGAGAAAGCUCGGCGAAUAUUGCCUUUCUCUCGCAUUUAGAUUAAAGCCUAUACAAAUAAAUGUUGCAUAUUCCAACAAUGAACGAAUUUCGUAUUUUUAAUUUCCAAUGACAAAUGUAAGGGAGGUUGUAACAUUAGUGUGAACGACAAUCUACACC